rnacentral:rRNA from 1 species
AACGAACGCUGGCGGCGUGCCUAACACAUGCAAGUCGUGCGAGAAAGUUCCUUCGGGAGCGAGUAAAGCGGCGCACGGGUGAGUAACACGUAGGUAACCUGCCCCCCAGUCUGGAACAACUAGAGGAAACUCUAGCUAAUGCCGGAUGAGACCACGAUCCCUUCGGGGUUGGCGGCCAAAGAUGGCCUCUACUUGUAAGCUAUCGCUGAGGGAUGGGCCUGCGGGCCAUUAGCUUGUUGGUGAGGUAACGGCUCACCAAGGCUGUGAUGGCUAGCUGGUCUGAGAGGAUGACCAGCCACACUGGGACUGAGACACGGCCCAGACUCCUACGGGAGGCAGCAGUGGGGAAUAUUGCGCAAU